GUUCAAAUAUUUUCCCCAUACAAGAUGUCAAAGUUAUUGGCCUGUAUGAUUCAUAAUUAUCCUUAUCCUUAUCUGGUUUAAGUGCAGGGAUGAGACAAUCUGUUUUCCACUGUGUUGGUAUUAAAUCUGUAGCCCAUAGAGAAUUAUAAAUAUUCAGUAUUACUUUUCUAGAAUCUAUACUGGCAUACUUUAGCAUCUUGUAUGGAAUACCGUCAAGUCCGCAAGCUGUAUCUCUCCGUGAAGAUAUCGCUGCAUUAAACUCCCCUAGUGUAAACUGGUUUGUUAAGUAUUCAGAGUGAGAAGCUGGUACAGACUGUUCAAUUAAAUUCAAUGGAGACUCAACGGUGUCUGGUGUAUAUUUUUUAAGAAAAUUAUUGAUCAAGUCUAUGUUGGUUAUGACAUUAGUGCUUUUGGGUUUCUUAUUAAAUUUUCUCAUCAUAGACCAGAUAUAUGAUAAAGGAGUUGUUCUGUUGAAUGUUUCAGUUAGAGAAUACCAGCUCAAUUUUCUCUCAUUAUUUAAAAUCAGUUUCCUUUGUGCCUGUUUUUGUUUAAAAGUCAAGUAAUUUACUUCACUUGGAUCUGCUUUAAAAUUUAAGUUUUGUCAAGGAGUGAUAUAUAUGUGAAGGUGCACACUUGUGUUGAAUUAAAGUAGAUUGUUCUGCAGCUACAUUAAUAAUGGCAGUUAAUUCUGAAUAUGACUUUAAUGGAUUGGAAAGGUCGAAGUUAUGGUUUGACAUCAAACUAUCUAACACCUUUGUAUAUUUUUUAAAAUCAAUGUUUCUACUACUUAAAUGAUGAGGAAAAGGUAAAUGAAAGCUACCAAGUGGGUCAUCAGUUACUAUCCAGUCAGAAUUAAGAGCCAAAGAAGGCGAAACAAUGGUUAAGUCCAAGGCAUUGGGCUGCCAAAUGUGUGAGCCAACAGUUGUAGGAUGUCCAUUAUUAAGUAUGACCAAACCAUUUUCAUCUGAACUUUCAUAGAUGUCACGACCCCUAGCAUCGAUAGAUGAACAUCCCCAAAGCAGGUGGUGAGCAUUAAAGUCACCUGCUAGAAAUAUUGGUUCCGGAAUAUUACGGAUGAGAUUAUUUAACUUUUUCUUUGAAAACUGAAGAGUGCAAUUACCUGGACUAUAUAGACUUAUUAUAGAUAAUUCUUUAUUACAAUAUUUUAAUCUAAUAGCAAUAUUUUGAAGUGAAUCAUCAUAUUUUGUUUGUAUACUAGUGUAAUUUAAUUUAUUGUGAAUUAGUAUGGCUACACCAUUAUGAGUGUUGCCUGAAUCUAACCUAACCAAGUUAUAUUCUUUAAAUCUUAUUUUGUGAUGUGGUUUUAGCCACGUUUCACAAAUUACUGCAAUGUGAAUAUUGUUCUCAUAUAAAAAUUGUGAAAAAAUAUGUCUAUGGCACAUUAAGCUCUGAGCAUUCCAUUGAACUAUGUUCAGACUGUCCAUUAGUGUAAUAUGUUAUUUUGUUUUUCUACAUUAAAUGUCUC